rnacentral:rRNA from 1 species
AUUGAACGCUGGCGGCAGGCCUAACACAUGCAAGUCGAACGAGUGGCGGACGGGUGAGUAAUGUCUGGGAAACUGCCUGAUGGAGGGGGAUAAAUACUGGAAACGGUAGCUAAUACCGCAUACCAUCGGAUGUGCCCAGAUGGGAUUAGCUAGUAGGUGGGGUAAAGGCUCACCUAGGCGACGAUCCCUAGCUGGUCUGAGAGGAUGACCAGCCACACGGGAACUGAGACACGGUCCAGACUCCGACGGGAGGCAUCAGUGGGGAAUAUUGCACAAUGGGCGCAAGCCUGAUGCAGCCAUGCCGCGUGUGUGAAGAAGGCCUUCGGGUUGUAAAGUACUUUCAGCGGGGAGGCGGUACCCAAAGAGAAAGCACCGGCUAACUCCGUGCCAGCCGCCGCGGUAAUUC